rnacentral:rRNA from 1 species
GAUGAACGCUGGCUGCGUGCUUAACACAUGCAAGUCGAACGGGAUCCAAGGGGUGCUUGCACUUUUUGGUGAGAGUGGCGAACGGGUGAGUAACACGUGAGUAACCUGUCCUUUUCUUUGGGAUAAGCAUUCGAAAGGGUGUUUAAUACCUUAUGUUCUGUCUGCCUCGCAUGGGGUGGGUGGGAAAGGCUUUGGCCGGAUUUGGGUGGGCUCGCGGUCUAUCAGCUUGUUGGUGGGGUGAUGGCUUACCAAGGCUUUGACGGGUAGCCGGCCUGAGAGGGUGGUCGGUCACAUUGGGACUGAGAUACGGCCCAGACUCCUGCGGGAGGCAGCAGUGGGGGAUAUUGCACAAUGGGCGAAAGCCUGAUGCAGCGACGCCGCGUGGGGGAUGAAGGCCUUCGGGUUGUAAACUUCUUUUGCUCUGAACAAGGCAUGCCAGUGGGUGUGUUGAGUGUAGGGGUUGAUUAGCGCCGGCUAACUACGUG